GGGAGGGCUGCUUGCUCCUGGCAUCUAGUAGGUAGAGGCUGGAGGAGGGGUCGCUUAAUGGCCUACAAUACACUGAACAGCCCUCUGCAACAGAGAACCCUACAGGUCAGUAGUGCUGGUGGUGACAAAUCCUGUUGUAGAGAUGCCUUCCACUUCUGGUCACUGACAACUCAGGUUGUCAAAAUGAAAUGAUCAACAAACAGUAUAAGGUCUUGAUAGAUUCACUUUAUGGAUUGGUAACCUGGAACCCAAGGUCCUACAAGCAGUAAGAUAUGGGAGCAGAGAUCUGUCUGUUCCAAAGUCUGCAACAUUCUCUAACAGCAUACUGAGACCUAGGAGUCAGGGAACAGGAGUGGGAGAAGGAUACUGUUCUCUGACAAUCAGAAUUCAAGUAUUUCAAGUCAAUGGCUUGCAAGAGAAAAUGGACUAUUACUCCACCUAAACAACAUCGCAUGAGUCCUACAAACUAUGCAACACAGGAUUUUCCCUGCAGUAUUCUAAUGUACCAUUUUGUGUUUUUCCUACUGGAUCUACUAAAUGGUUUGGGUGCUGUAAAAAAACACAAAUUUGGUCCCAGGAUCAUUUGUCUGAGUUCCACUUGGAGAGUUAAGAGUACAAACUCACCUUUUUUUUCUUUUGAAGAAUCUCUGCGGGAAGGUAGUGAUGAAGUUGUUUUUUUUUAACAUGAGUUGCUUCAAUUUUCAUUCCCUCCUUUAGCAUGUUUAUAUUGUUUGCCUGUCUGUACACUGUAACAAAGUCAGUAUGUUAAAUGGGGAAAUUCUUUCUGAAUCAAGAGCUUUGCUUUUUUUCUGAAAUUUGUACCUUCAAUAUAUCCCCAUUACUACACACACACAUUCCUCUUACAGAACAAAUACAUACUCCCAAAACAUUUUCACGUCACAAUCCUACUCAAGUACUGACUAGUUUUCUCAUGUCAACUCUUUAAGACUUUCCUAUAAUCAAAUCUCAUUAACAGAUAAAUGUAUGGAAGAAAAUUUUUUUCCAAAUCUUAUUUUCUGCUAUUUUCCCCAAAGGCAAUCUCUUCUUAUAAUUACUUGCCCAAGUCCAAGUUAAUCCUUAUACUAAAUAUCCAAGAUGCAAACUCAAGCUCUCCUCCUCCAUGAAGCUUCUUUUAUUACACCAAGCACAGAAUGUCAGAUAUCAGAAACCAUCCAGAAGUACUCCCUUAUUACACAGGUGGGGAAAUGAGGCUCAACAGCCCUGAAUGCCUUGCCGAAACUGGUAUACACACAGCCCUGGAUUCCCAUUCUAGUGCUUUUCACACCGUAUAAGAAAAUCAGUAUUAUUAACUACCACGUAAAUUAUUUAACCUAUGUUAACUGUGAAUACCCAAAACUUACCCAAGGAUGGGAGGUUUCUUUUGCACAGUAAUUACUGUGAAAUGUAAAUUAUUUACUCUUGGGGCCUUAGUAUCUCUAACUGGAGAAGAACACUUUAUAAAUCUAUAAUAAACAGAGCUUCCCAACCUCCUCCUUUUGGAAAAACAGGUCCAAAUUAGAAUGGAAAAAUGUGUACCUAUGCUUUUGUUCCAGAUUACUUAUAAAACAAUCACCAGGAGUGCUUGUUCAAUGUGCAGACUCCUAGCUCUACUUCCCAGAGUGUGUGAUUUAAUAGUUCUAAGGUGAUGCACAGGAACCUACACUUUCAUGAUAAAUAUGAAGGCUAGUUCAAAAGAAUUUAGAAAACUCAGAUGGGCUAACCAAGAAUAUUAAUAGUAUGAGUGUAUACUAUUCCAGAUUUUAAGACAACUCCAGAUUUGUAAGAGAUAUAUUAAGAUAUUCCACAGAGAUGUUAUUAGAGAGCCAGAUGUGAAAACUCUUUUCAUUGAUUCUGAAUAUAUUCAGCAAGUCUGUACUGACUGAUACUUAUGAAAACAUAAUAAGCAAGUCAUCUUUAUGAUUGUGAUUAUAAACUGUGGCUAUGCACACUAAAAAUCACCUGCAGAGUUUCUUUAGUCUUCCUUCUGUUUUAAAACAGUUAACACAUUCACAUGAUACAGAAUGGCUGGAGAGUAUACAGCGAAGUCUCCUCACCCCAGUCCAGUAGGCACACUUGGUUCUCCCUGAUCUAAAAAGAACCAGUUCUACCAGUUUCUUUCUUUAAAACUAUAUAUCCUUCCAGAGAUAGUCCACAUUUUUUUAAGCAAACAUGCACAUAUUCUUUCUUUACUUCUUUAUACUAAUGGUAGCACACUAUACAUACUAGUCUGCAGUCGUGCCCCACUCCCCCACCUAAUAUGUCUUGGAAAUUGUUUUAUCAUGCCUUUACUUUUUUAAUAGCAGCACAGAUUUUCAUAAUAUAAAUGUACUAUAUUCAUUUAACCAAUUGUGGAACUUCAAAAAAGCAUAGCCAGCCAGAUACUAGGCAGAUGAUACUGUGUUAUAGCCAAAGUUGAGAAUCACAGCUCUAUAAGGACCAAGUCUUACCUGUAUCAGUAAAUGACUGUAUAUCAUAUGUCAGGUCUAUAUUAACACUUUCUGCAUUUUCUACUCUCCGGAAAAUUAUUCCAAGGAACCACAUUGAUACAUAAUUGUUGCUAUAAAGUAAAAUUUAAGAAUUUCCAUUAGUUUUUACAAUUUUACACAUGCUCUUUAGUAAUUAAAAAUUCAUCUCUAUGAAAAGUAUAAGCAUAUUUUAGUGGUUUGGCCAAAUUCUUAAAACUGACACCAAGAACACUAUUAAGUUAUCCUGCGUUAUUAUAAAGAAGAUUAAGUGGCUUUGAAAAUGAUUUACUUAAAAUAUAUUUAAAGAUACUCCAAAUAUUGUGAUGGAGUUUUUGCUGGGGUCUGUGGGGUACCAACAUAGCAUGUACUUCGUUUUAACACAUGACCACUCAUGCUCAAGUAUACAAUGUAUCAUCCUCCAUCAAUGCCUGUUAAGUAACAAUUUCACAACUGAUCUUAAACAAUACUAUGUCAGAUAACAUUAUUUAAGAUAUAUAAUAUUAAAAAAUAAUUAACUUAC